rnacentral:rRNA from 1 species
UAGUGGCGAACGGGUGAGUAACACGUGGGCAAUCUGCCCUUCACUNUGGGACAAGCCCUGGAAACGGGGUCUAAUACCGGAUAACACUUCCUGCCGCAUGGUGGGGGGUUAAAAGCUCCGGCGGUGAAGGAUGAGCCCGCGGCCUAUCAGCUUGUUGGUGGGGUGAUGGCCUACCAAGGCGACGACGGGUAGCCGGCCUGAGAGGGCGACCGGCCACACUGGGACUGAGACACGGCCCAGACUCCUACGGGAGGCAGCAGUGGGGAAUAUUGCACAAUGGGCGAAAGCCUGAUGCAGCGACGCCGCGUGAGGGAUGACGGCCUUCGGGUUGUAAACCUCUUUCAGCAGGGAAGAAGCGAAAGUGACGGUACCUGCAGAAGAAGCGCCGGCUAACUACGUGCCAGCAGCCGCGGUAAUACGUAGGGCGCAAGCGUUGUCCGGAAUUAUUGGGCGUAAAGAGCUCGUAGGCGGCUUGUCACGUCGGAUGUGAAAGCCCGGGGCUUAACCCCGGGUCUGCAUUCGAUACGGGCUAGCUAGAGUGUGGUAGGGGAGAUCGGAUUNCU